rnacentral:lncRNA from 1 species
AUUUCUCGCUUCAGCUCCCAGAAUAGCUUUUUCACCCCUAGACUCUGAGCGCAUGCCUGUCUCUCCAGGUUACCAGUGGCCCGCUGACACCCAUCUCCUUCCACGCCCCCCUUCCGGCGUCUACCCCGAGCUUCCCUGGGCCCCACGAGUCACACCGACACGCACACCUAUAGGCCGGCGGCGGGGAGCGUCUAGGGCACGAUGCAGCCGGACUGCAUUGCACAGUCAUCAAAGUUAAGUGUGUGUGUUUGUGGGGUGCCUGUGCGCCCCGGGGGAGGCGCGGGGUCAGAAGGAGCGGAGCCUCCACUCUGCACCCCCCUCCCCGGCCACCUCCGCGGGUCAGGGGACGCCUCUACUUGAGAUUGCAGCCAUUUUAGGGAAAGAGGCGGCUCGGGCCCCGAGGGGAGUGGAGGGGGGACACAGCACGUUGCGGGGGGCUCGCGGUUCUGCAGCCCCUCGGCGCAACUGGAAGGCGGGCAGGCGCCAGGCGCACAGGGGCGCGGCGCCCGCGGCGACUUGGGGAAGGUUGCGCUCGAGUUCCCUGGUUCUGCCUGGAGUUGUUCGGGAUCUAACUGAGCCCAUUGUAGGCCUGCUCUUGUAUGAAUAUUUCACCCUGCUACGUACCAGAUGGAGUAAGUGAUUGCAACCCUCUACCCCCAAUUGAAGGGAUGUGCAGGGGACCCUACCUGACUGGUGAGACCUCUGCGUCAGAUUUUCACUGGAGCCAUAGAGAGGUGUGCGCUCUCUGCUGUGAGAGCGAGGCUGGGAGAAUGUGUAAGGCUGGCACUCUUCCAGGCCAUUUGACUCCCACCAGAAUGAACCCAGCUGCUUAAGAAUGAAGCCAGCUCAGAAGGAAAGAGUGCAUGAGAGGAAGCACUGCACAUUCCUGACUUAGAUCCUUUGAGCAACUGGAUCCAGCCUAACCUGAAGCAAGACACCUCCCUGGACUUUGAGUAUGUAAGCCAAUAAACUUCUCCUCAUUAUAAGCCAGUUUGAGCCUGAUUUAUGGAAGUUAAGCAUCUUGGCCAAGAUAACAUAUCUAAUGAAUGUGGAGUAAUAUUCAGAUCCAUACAACCCUAAUUCCAUAUGGUUCUUAACCACCAUGCUCUAGCAUGGCACUUAGCAUCUACGGCAGGACAGAGCUCAGAGCCACAUCCCUUUCACUGCCUGGCCCUCACUGGGAGUCUCUUCCCUUCCAGAAGCAGCUGCCAAUUUGUUUAAGAGGGUAAUCGAUCGGAGUACAUCUCAGGUUUUUUUGUGGGUUUUGUGUUGUUUUGUUUGACUCUUAUAGAGGCAAAUAUCUCAGCUUUAUUUGGAUUGUUUGUUGCAUCCAAUCAUUAAAACCAUGUUCAUGUCUUGAUCACUUGGUGAAAGGCUAAAGUGGAAGUGAGAAAGUGUAAAAAGAAUACGGAAUUAAGGCCAGACACAGUGGCUCAUGCCUAUAAUCUCGGCUCUUUGGAAUGCCAAGGCAGGCAAAUCACUUGAGGUCAGGAGUUCAAGACCAGCUUGGUCAGCAUGGUAAAACCCCAUCUCUACUAAAAAUAUCAAAAAUAAUUGGCCAAGCAUUGCGGCUGCCACCUGUAAUCCCAGCUACUCAGGAGGUUGAGGCAGGAGAAUCACUUGAACCUGGGAGGCAGAGGUUGCAGUGAGCUGAGAUCAUGCCACUGCACUCUAGCUUGGGCAAGAUUCCAUCUCAAAAACAAAAAGAAGUAAGAUUCCAUCUCAAAAACAAAAAGAAAGAGAGAGAGUAAGAUUCCAUCUCAAAAACAAAAAGAGAGAGAGAGAGAAAGAAGAAAAAGAAAGAAAGGAAGGAAGGAAGGAAGGAAGGAAGGAAGGAAGGAAGGAAGGAAGGAAAGAAAAAAAUAGGGAAUUGAGAGCUUCAACCCUUGCCUAUUUUCUGACGACCCAAAUCAGGAGAUAUUUAUAGACAACCUCCGUAUUAGUCAGGACUCAGCUGCAGUGACAAAAACCUAACUUCCCUGUCUAAAACAAAACAAAACAAAACAAUAUUUAAAGAACUUUAGUGGUUCUCCUGACUGAAGAGCCAGGCAUAGGGGUGUUUUCAGGCAAGGCUGGCCUAUACA